GCCCAAGAGAUCGGGAUAACACCUGGAAACAAGAUGCUAAUACCGGAUAACAACAGAUGAUGCCUAUCAACUGUUUAAAAGAUGGUUCUGCUAUCACUCUUGGAUGGACCUGCGGUGCAUUAGCUAGUUGGUAGGGUAACGGCCUACCAAGGCGAUGAUGCAUAGCCGAGUUGAGAGACUGAUCGGCCACAUUGGGACUGAGACACGGCCCAAACUCCUACGGGAGGCAGCAGUC
rnacentral:rRNA from 1 species